CCUGAAGUGUGUAGAGUUCUCAAAUCCUACGUCUCUUCUUAUGUGUGUCAGGUGACUGUUUCAGAGACUCUGUGGUAUCUCAAUUGGUUUCAGAUGCUUGCAUCUGGGCAGCUGAAUCAAGACCUGAAGGUAAAUAGAGAGGAAGUUAGGAAAGAUACUUCAAUGUCUUCGAUGUUGGUAAUGCUGAAGAGCAGCAACAUGAAAUGCAUGAACAGAAGAGUCGUUUUCAGCACUAGUGUGUUUCUGGAAGGUGCUACCGCAGAGGAAAAUGAUGGCCCUCAUUCAACAAUUUUUUAUAUUUGGACUGUUUUGAUCUCAUUCCAUUUUCAUGGGAGACAGUAUCAUCUUCACUGACUUAACUGGGUUUAGACAGAGUCAGCCUGACAGUGUCUAGUGCUAUUAUUCUUCUUGCCACUUAUGUAUGCCUCCUCACAGACUAUGAUAUCACAACUCAUUAAUCAGGCAGCAGGCUGGCUUGAGUGAGAUCACAGCAUGGGCCAAUGCCAGUGCUCUUUUUGUCUGAUUCAUCAGGUGAUUUUUUUUUUUUUUCCCACUGUGGUCGCAGAAG
rnacentral:lncRNA from 1 species